rnacentral:rRNA from 1 species
ACGUAGGAUCCGAGCGUUAUCCGAAUUUACUGGGCGUAAAGCGCGUGCAGGCGGUUCGGUAAGUUGGAUGUGAAAUCUCCCGGCUCAACUGGGAGAGGUCGUUCAAUACUGUCGGACUCGAGGAUGGUAGAGGGAGGUGGAAUUCCCGGUGUAGUGGUGAAAUGCGUAGAUAUCGGGAGGAACACCAGUGGCGAAGGCGGCCUCCUGGGCCAUUCCUGACGCUAAGACGCGAAAGCUAGGGUAGCAAACGGG